UACGUAGGUGGCAAGCGUUGUCCGGAAUUAUUGGGCGUAAAGCGCGCGCAGGCGGUUUCUUAAGUCUGAUGUGAAAGCCCACGGCUCAACCGUGGAGGGUCAUUGGAAACUGGGGAACUUGAGUGCAGAAGAGAAGAGCGGAAUUCCACGUGUAGCGGUGAAAUGCGUAGAGAUGUGGAGGAACACCAGUGGCGAAGGCGACUCUUUGGCCUGUAACUGACACUGAGGCGCGAAAGCGUGGGGAGCAAACAGG
rnacentral:rRNA from 1 species